UACAGAGGGGGCAAGCGUUGUUCGGAAUUACUGGGCGUAAAGGGCGCGUAGGCGGCCUGUUAAGUCGAACGUGAAAUCCCUGGGCUCAACCCAGGAACUGCGUCCGAUACUGGUUGGCUUGAAUCCGGGAGAGGGAUGCGGAAUUCCAGGUGUAGCGGUGAAAUGCGUAGAUAUCUGGAGGAACACCGGUGGCGAAGGCGGCAUCCUGGACCGGCAUUGACGCUGAGGCGCGAAAGCUAGGGGAGCAAACGGG
rnacentral:rRNA from 1 species